AUUCCGCAUAUUAAAGCUACACAAAAGCACCGCUAAUCUGCCAGGAGCAGUGCUGUUAUGGGCAAUACAUUAAAAUGUCCACUGAUCUCUCUCUCUCUCUUGUUCUCUCUCUCUCUCUUAUUCCUUCCACAUGACCAUUAUGUGCAUUUGUCAGAUUUGUCACCUUGCAGACAGCACCAUUUAUCCUACAUUAGCCUUGCGGUUCUUAUAAUAAUUAGAAUCAUCUAAUGUGUCAAGUAGUUUGCAAGAGUCUAAAAUGUUCAUGGCCUCGGUGUCGUUACAGCAGUUCCAAACUACUUGUAGAAUCGACUCUAUUGAGCAUCUUUCCGCUAAGUCGUGAAUUGAAAUUGUAUUCUGCUACUGAGCACUGUUUGGCUUCCAGGGGGCAGAGCUUUGUGCUUUCGUGUUCAUCCAGAGAGGAAACCACGCUGAUGAAGAGGCGAUGCACCAGAACUAACCACAGCAAGGCCUUCACCCGUGUCUUCCUGAGACUUCUACAUUCUGGACUUCCAUUGAAUAUGGAGAAUUCAAUCAACAAAAGCUCAAGUACUUAACUGCAUUUUCUCAGGACUUUUGAGCUCACUGC
rnacentral:lncRNA from 13 species